GAUUAACGCUAGCGGCAGGCAUAAUACAUGCAAGUUGAACGAGAUAAGUUUUAGCAAUAGAACUUUGAAAGAGGCGCACGGGUGCGUAACACGUAUGCAACCUACCUUUUACUGGGGAAUAGCCUCUCGAAAGAGAGAUUAAUACCCCAUAAUAUAUUGAUAAGGCAUCUUAUUAAUAUUAAAGUUACGGCGGUAAAAGAUGGGCAUGCGGCUGAUUAGGUAGUUGGUGAGGUAAUGGCUCACCAAGCCGACGAUCAGUAGGGGGUCUGAGAGGAUGUCCCCCCACACUGGUACUGAGACACGGACCAGACUCCUACGGGAGGCAGCAGUAGGGAAUAUUGGACAAUGGGCGCAAGCCUGAUCCAGCCAUGCCGCGUGCAGGAUGAAGGCCCUAUGGGUCGUAAACUGCUUUUGUACGGGAAGAAACCUCACUACGUGUAGUGAGUUGACGGUACCGUGAGAAUAAGGAUCGGCUAACUUCGUGCCAGCAGCCGCGGUAA
rnacentral:rRNA from 1 species